GUCAACUAACCAAAACAAAUCAUCUCUCCGCACCAAAUUUUCUCAUCCGGCAGCUCCCACUUUUAAUUUAUGUUUUAAAGCAAAUUAGCAGUAUAAAAAUACAUACCGCCAACUCAAAUUGUUCUACUGAACCGGCAAAUCGAAUCAACACCCGUCAGCUGAAUGCAAAGGUUGUCAGGCAAUGCAAAGGUUUCCGUCGUAAUCUGUGCCCGCAGUAUAUGGCCUUACCGAUCGGUGCUCGAGCAGGAAAUAGUGCAUCAAAUCCGAAGUGUCUCAUGAUUCUGGAAUACUAUUUGUGCAAUGACUUCAUAGCGGAGUGAGCAAACGAUUCUGAUGCGAGCCAAGUGUAUGCCAGGACGAAACAGAAAAUGAUUCUAACCCGCUCUAGUUUCGAUCAUUAUGGAAACGAUGACUUUCCCCGGGCUUCGCUCUUCAAAAUUAGGGUUUGGGUGCUAGUAGUGGACCCCCUAAGCCAUCGAAAUUUGCUUCUGCGGCUUUUUAGCUAUGUUACCUCAGUUGAUUGUUCCAAAGUGCAAUUUUAUAACAAGUUCCAUGUCCCCUCUUUAUGUAAAGACCGUCAAACAUACGACAUUAAUAAAUUAUUCCAGUGAAAUACGCAUUUAAAAAUAUGCAUCGAUACUGCCUAUAAUGGACACCACCGGGGUCCACUAUAGGAUUAUUUACAAAUAUCUCGGCGCCUAUAAAG